CACAGGCUCAGUAGUUGUGGCACUGGGCUUAGUUGCUCUGCAGCAUGUGGGAUCUUCCUGGACCAGGGCUCGAACAUGUGUCCACUGCAUUGGCAGGUGGAUUCUCAACCGCUGCGCCACCAGGGAAGCCCCAUACAGAUUUCUAAACUUAAAGUUAACAUCAAAAUAUUAUGAUUUACUUCACUGUCUCUAUUCUAAAUUCUACCCUUUCCCAGGAGAGUCAGUUUGACCAUCGGGAAGGCUGAGGUUAUUAGGACAAAAAAUUAGUGCCGUAGACCAGUUAGCUGUCAGAUUGAAGAGCAGAACGGGAGAGCUCAGGGCUUCAGGGCUGCAUGCUGCAAAGUAAUCCUCCUGUGAACUCCCUGAGCGCUCCCCAGGUGGAGUUACCUCUGCUGACCGCAGAGCGGGUUUUCAGCUGGACCGGCUCACAAUUCACAUGAGUAGGGCAUCUUUUGCAUUGUACCUUAUCCCGCCUUGGGUAGAUGAUCUGCUGCUGUAUCCCCACCUAGAUGUCAGCAAAUUUCCUUCACUUAUUAAGUCCUUUUGUAUUUUUCUUUCUUACCUGAUCCUCUAGCCCUGUCGAUGACCUCUCUUUUCUAAGCCUCUAAUUAAGUGUCAUCAGACCCACAGAAACUUGCUUUUCCCUUUCAUAUCUGCCUGGCCUCCCAGACCUUGCACUCCUUCCACAUGUAUCUAGCCUGUCUUCAAAGACCAUAGCCCUUUCUUCCAGUGGAAUCUACCUCUUCCUCCAGCUUAAUCAGCCUUGUAUUUUUCCUUCAAUUUUCACCUCUUUUAUUCCAGAAGAAAGACCAAACUUUAUGUUGUUAUUUUGUUGUUGUUGUUGUUUUUAAGCAGUUCUUUCUUGACUCCUUGAACAAACAUGCUUGUUAGAAUCAGAAUGUUCCAGACACUGACCUUCUGGAUUGCCCUGUUGAGCCCUUGGGUUUGCAUGCCAGGUCACCUUUGCCCAUGAAAUCGGCACCCGAAAGCCUGUGAGCUCUUGUUACCAAGACCCUAUGGUGCUCCAAGGACAAUGGUGCUUUAAGGACAAAGGAUGACCCUGCCUGAAAAUGUUUCAGCUGUUACACCCCCUACUGGAUUCUUACUCGCCCUCCCACCACGUUGCAAUGGUUACAAGAUUCCUGAGCCCACCUGGGCGACGCCCACCUGGGCAACUGGACCUGUCCCAAGUAAGGAAAAGCAUCUGCCCUGUCCCACUCCCACCUAUAGAAGGAAGGUAUAUGUUCCUCGACCAAUCAGUAAAUGACAUUUUCACCUCGGACCAUUCCUUUGUUUUCUGGCUGUAAAAACUGAUCAAUAGCACAUGUUCAGGCCCGACUCUCCCAGACGACUAGGAAGUCAGCCCGCUGUUCUGGCAGCGACCCUUUCCUCUAAUAAAUUCUAUCUUCUUUACA